UACAGAGGGUGCAAGCGUUAAUCGGAAUUACUGGGCGUAAAGCGUGCGCAGACGGUUGCGUAAGUCAGAUGUGAAAGCCCCGGGCUCAACCUGGGAAUUGCAUUUGAGACUGCGUAGCUAGGGUGCGGAAGAGGGAAGCGGAAUUUCCGGUGUAGCGGUGAAAUGCGUAAAUAUCGGAAGGAACACCAGUGGCGAAAGCGGCUUCCUGGUCCAGCACCGACGUUCAGGCACGAAAGCGUGGGGAGCAAACAGG
rnacentral:rRNA from 1 species